CCUACGGGUGGCAGCAGUGGGGAAUAUUGCGCAAUGGGCGAAAGCCUGACGCAGCGACGCCGCGUGAGGGAUGAAGGUCUUCGGAUCGUAAACCUCUGUCAGCAGGGAAGAACGGUCACUGUGCUAAUCAGCAGUGAAUUGACGGUACCUGCAAAGGAAGCACCGGCUAACUCCGUGCCAGCAGCCGCGGUAAUACGGAGGGUGCGAGCGUUAAUCGGAAUUACUGGGCGUAAAGCGCUCGUAGGCGGUAUGUCAAGUCAAGGGUGAAAUCCCCGCGCUCAACGUGGGAACUGCCUGUGAAACUGGCAAACUGGAGUGUGUGAGAGGAUAGUGGAAUUCCAGGGGGAGGAGUGAAAGCCGUAGAUAUCUGGAGGAACAUCAGUGGCGAAGGCGACUAUCUGGCACAUAACUGACGCUGAGGAGCGAAAGCGUGGGUAGCAAACAGGAUUAGAUACCCCAGUAGUC
rnacentral:rRNA from 1 species